UUCGACCUUUGGCUUGCUCAAGGCAUCCCCUUUUUUGCAAGGGGGGAAUGCCAUAGUGAACCAACCAGGGUUCUAUGACUCUGCUGUAAUAAUAGACCUCUUGCAGAAUGCGGAUAGCAGGAUUCCUGUAGUCCGGCAAUGUCUCUAUCCGCCAUCGUAGGAAAACCACACCCUUUUUUAACAGGGUGUCUUAUGGGAUUAUUUUUUCUAGUUGAAUUAUUUCAAAAGUGGUUAAUGUGAUGACUUGGUUUCAACUGAAUGUAUUUCUAGGUGACUGGCAAGACACCCAUUACAGAGCCUGGGGUUGGAGGGGUGAGCUGGUUUGUUCCCAAGAGGAUCUUGGCAAUCGGUGAAGCGGGUGAUCCCACGGUUGGUCUCAAGCGGUCGAGUCAUCACAGUUAGUGAUAGAAAAUAGUUAGACACAAGAUCUCGUCUGCUGUUGUUUAUAGUGUUAACAA